GCCCGGCGCGGUGGCGCAUGCCUGUAGUCUCAGCUACUGGGGAGGCUGAAGUGGGAGGAUAGCUUGAGCCCAGGAGUUCUGGGCUGUAGUGCGCUUUGCCCAUCGGGUGUCCGCACUAAAUUCAGCAUCAGUGUGGUGACCUCCUGGGAGCAGGGGACCACUAGGUUGCCUAAGGAGGGGUGAACCGGCCGAGGUCGGACACGGAGCAGGUCAAAACUCCCGAGAUCAGUAAUGGGAUCGUGCCUGUGAAUAGCCACUGCACUCCGGCCUGGGCAACAUAGCGAGACUCCGUCUCUA
ensembl:misc_RNA Metazoa_SRP Metazoan signal recognition particle RNA